GUUUUAAAGGCGCCGGCGACAUUCCAUGUGGCCACCUUUUGGCUCUGAAAAGUAUCUUAAUACUGCACUUAGCUUGCACAGGCUAAGUAACCCUGCUGCUGGUGCUAAAAGCUUCUACAGACUUAUGGACUGUGGACUUAUGGCCUCGAAAAACUACGGCACUACUAUAACCCAACCCACCAAAAUCGAUCGAGGUGUGUGGUUCUCCUUCCCCGUGCAUCGCUUAGCCGUCCGUGCUGUGGAAUGUGCUGCAAUGGGUUUGAAUGCAACAUUUUCGUUCCGUUCCGUUCCGAACACCACACGCUCACUAACCCGGCGACUUCACAGUAGCUUUUGAUCUCUUUGAAAAUUUCACCAAGAGCGCCAACCAGCACCACCAAUUCGAGUGCCGGCGAUGGAGAAAAAUCUCGAGCACGUAGUCUGCCGGGGGUCCUCCCAUUCCCCCCCACCAACCGGGACAGGGGUUUGGAAAAACCCGCGAAAAGGCACGAAAGUUCCCAACAUCAUAUCCCCCCUCAUCCCGAAAACUCGAAUGUUCCUUUUUGCCUUCCUUUUCUGCCGUCCGGCAGCCAUGCAACACACUCAAUGCUGUGCACCACCCCGAGUGUGUUGCAGCAGUGUUCGUGCCUGUGGUUUUGGAUGUGUCCCUAGGGUGGUGAUAACCUCCGUAGUAGCAUCGAUCGGAAAUCGAUCGGAACUAGGAGGGAGGGGAAGAGAUGGGCGCGACAAAAAGCGGAACCGAUUGAACUCUGAAGCUCUAAAUACACGAACCGUGUCGACGCUCCCGAGCUCUCACAGCGCGGUGUAGAGGGUCUGCUCACGUAGAAAACGUUCGCCAGAUGGGUGUUUAAUUUGCUGUUUUGGAGGGCAUCCUCGGAACCGUGCCGCCGCCUCCCCCAGAGUGGUGGUAGUGGUGUGACGCUCAUAAAUUUGCUAGUAAAAUUCAACGUUUUUCCCCGCUGGCUGCGGAUGUAGAUUACGCUUACGAAAGCCAGGCGAGGGUUACGACCAAACAUACUGCAUCUUGGUUUCAUAAAAUGGGCUUCUGGGUGCAGCGUUUCUUAAACUGCUCAUUCCAUUGUUGGUCCUUGUGCAUAUUGGGCGCUAUGGAAUACAACCCAUACACACACACACGUGCGCGCGGCUUCUUUAAAUAUCCACAACGGUGGCCACAUCGGAGUAAACAAUACUCUCUAGCGAUGGCGUGAACGGGAGGAGCCUGUGAAGGGUACCACCGUUUGCGGUUUCUAAUUAUGCUUCAAAUGAGCGGCUUUCCAACACCUAGCUGCUGUAUUUGUACGUGUGUGUAUGUGUGUAUGUGUGUGUGUGUGUGUGGUGUAGUGUACGGGGAAAUGUACCGGAAAUUGAACUGCUGUUUUCCCGUGCAGCACGCGCAGCGAGGAAACCUUUGGGGGCACACUAAUAAAUGGUUUAUUUGCAGUUUCGAAACCACAACCACUGUAUGUGUGAAUAAUGAAGUAUGAAGUUCACAGGUUACGGUUCCGCUGGGUUAAAAAAACACCCUCUAGCUACCUUUUCCUUUCCUCGCGCACGGAAUAGUGUCUCGCGGAAAUAAAGGUUUAUUAUUAGCGACAUCUAGUGGCUUCUCGCGCACAUCACGCCGUUGUUGUUGUUGGUGGUGGUGCUGGUAGUUCCAAGCUCAAUCCCGGAAAUGGCACGAAUAAUGAUGAGCGCGGAGAGAGCUAGGCUGGGAUGGGAUGCUGCUAAUUGAAUGAAACCCCACCCAUCACUCUUGCUGCUGCUGCUGCUCUUUCCUUGUUUUCCGCCUCCUACAAAGUGGUACAAUAAACACAAGGCCGUUCGAUAAGGACUAGGAGGGAUACCUUGCUAGACGUGCCCUUUGUUGUCGUAGUUGUGGAAAAUUUGUGGCCCCAUAAUGAAAGGAGGCUGCGCUCGCCCUCCUUCCUCGCGAAGCAUCGAUUAUCGCGACCGGGGAAGCCCGCUUGCAAGUAAUCGUCUUGCCGGCAAAGUAAACGUAACAGCAACCCAUCUUGGUUGGUGGUACUAGGACGGGUGGUGUAGUACACACAAUCGCUUCCAUCAUCGCCUCCUUUGUUGUUAUUGGUUGGUUGGUGCCCGGGUGGCGACAACGACUUGCUUACGGGCCUGGGUCCUGUAGCAAUUCGUCGCCAUCCACAACCAACCGUCCAUCAUUUACCGUUAAGUGUUGUGAUUUGUGCCCCUGUCGGUGGGGAAUUGUUUUUGGCCAAAUGGGAGAGGAAAGGAGCGCCAUCGGCCUUUGGGUUGUGUUGGUGAAGGGCUUUCCACGAUUGUAAGGGUGAUGGUGCGAUUGAUUAAACUGUUCUCACCUUCUUCUCACCUGCCUCGAUGCCGCGAGCGCUAAAGCAACGUAAUUUAAAUACGUAAUUCACUCGAAAGAGAAUGGGGCCAGCUUAUGGUGGUGCUGAGAUGAGAUAAGUUCGAUUACAUAAUGAAUGAAUGCAAAUUUGUACAGUUUACGGUACGUUUCAAGAUAAUUUAAUUGUUAAAGUAGUUUAAAAUCGGCAGGAAGACUCAAAAAAGGCUAUUACAAGUUAGUAAUCAUUGCUCGUAAUUGCACUCUACCUUAAAAGUCUGCCAAUGGUAUGCCGAUUGCCUAGAUGCAGGGGCAUGAAUAGAACAAGUUGGAAUAGAACAAGUUGCAUGGUAGGAAUUUUAGUGCACAACUAAAUGCUUACGAUCGCAAAAUAAUUUAACUUGAUGAUGAGCUCAUAGAGAGCAUUCAAACUGCGGUUCUUGUUUUAGUGAUAUUUGCGCGAAAGCUCAUAACAUCCACGGUAGCUAUACGAACCGAAAAGGAAUUCAUAUGUGUGUGUGUUUGUGUAUGUGCUUGUGUGCAUUGCUGUCUCUCAUCCAUAUCGAAAGUUAUGUCCUCGUAAACUGCUGUAAAUUAUGCACCUUUCAUCAACACCGGGGGGAGGGGGGGAAUUUCAACGACCCUUUCUCUCCCAUUUAUUCUGAAAAUCGAACCACACUAGCGCCCCGGAUGAAUGCAACGUGCGUCGUGCCGUUAGAGUGUGUGUUAGUAGUAUCAGUGGAUUCCCCCUCAGGAACUAUAAAUUCAUCCGCUUUACGAACAGCCGUCACACGAACAGCCGCGCACACCACCCAAGUUUCCCAAGAAUCGAUGCGCCCAAGAGUUGCGAGCUUGGAAAAUGCAUCCAUUGCCAUUCCAGCUAGGAAAGAUGCGACGAGAGAGAGAGAGAGAGAGCAACGAGGAGGGGCAGGCAAUCCCUAUCGAAUUUCGAGCACACACACAGAGGAGUGCCAGCGUUCUGCUCGAGUUUGUGGUGAUGCAAGUUAAGCGAUGCCGAAUCAUCGUUUUUCGGUAAUAUGUCGGUAAUAUGUCGGCGGGAAUGGGGGGGGGGGGGGAGUCCACAAAUUUCCCAAUCCUUAUUCAAUUUACCAUCAACUAUUCCCGUUCCACGUGUGCGUGUAUGAGCAGCCACCACGGUACAUCCAAUUUAUCAUAGAAAAAAGGGAAACAGAUGUACGAGACAAACCUGAAUAGCGCCGGGAAUCGAUGAAUUUGCGAUGCUUUUGUUUGCCAAAUUUUAAUUGCCCUUGCCUAAAAAGGGUGAGCGCCAGCCUUCUAUCAUCAUCAUCAUCAUCAUGCUGUUUCGCUUCGGGUUCAAUUUCGAAUCGGGCGUGAGCUUACUAAAUUCUCGGGAAAACUCGGGAAAUUAAUGUCCAUAAACAAGCACUUCUUAUCCCCCCCCCCGCCUUCUGUUUGAUGAAAAUGAUUAAAACAUUUCCAAUAAUCGGUCAGAGUAUUGAAAACAAAAUUAAUUUGAAAUAUUUCGCUCCAAUCCCAACCGGAUUCAGUUGCGCCGGCCCCACACAAAAGCAGCGCGCGAAUGCGCUCUCUGUGUCCUUUUCGGAGGAGAUAUUCGGCCCGGCGGCCACCACCAAAACGUGCCAACUGGACCGCGAACGAUUGAGAGAGAGAGAGGAAGAAAUGUCCUUUCCAUCAUCUAUUCCCUCCCCAGGGACAAAUCCGAGAAAAACCGCGGAACCGGGAAAACUCGACGAACAAAAACAAAACAAAACGACACACCGAAAUCUCUCCACCACCUGCAAGGGACGAUCUUUCAGCAACAUCCUUCUGUUGAACCUUGGAACAGACUUGCUGAUUUUGGCUCUCUUUCUUUUUAUCAAAAGCGACAAAACGAACACCGGUAAACCACAACGGACCGCAAACGGAUGCCACCGUUGUUGCACACGUGUACAGUUUGAGUUAGUUGAUAAGCUUUUAAAUUGAGAUAGGACAGGAAGGGGGUACUACCAGCAGACAGACAGGAAAUAGAUAGGGAAAGGGGCUUGCCUGGCUGCUCGCCUUAGCGUUCUCCUCUCCUUUAGUAGGUAUUCUUCGUUCCCUUUUUUUUUGUUUUUGCUUUCCCUCUCAUUGCUGAAGCUUUUAUUUUGUAUGAGUUUUUACGUUUUUACUAUUACUAGCCCUCAGAAUACAAUUAAGUGAUCUGCGUGUCUGCAAAACAAUACUGGGCCGCUUGUAUGUAAUCCGUGCCGGAGAUAUCGUGUAUGUGUAAGCGCAGCGUACCACCAAAGAUUUUUAUACGCAAAAACGGACGACAUUCGUUACGCGCGUUUACUUUGCGCGAAUAGAAGAUUGAAUUGUUUUCUCAAAACAGAGCUUACAAAGCUCUACACUGAACCCCACUACUAAACCCAAACCCGCUUUAGGCAGCAAAGGGUUUAAAGGUUUAUUUACUCUAUAAUAUUCUCACAUUGCUUAGACUUCCCAUUUAACAACGCGCAAUAGACCCUUUUGUUUUAUUUAUUUUUAAUUCAAGAAAUUCAGGUGGUUGUCAUAAUUUUAUAACGUAGAGACACAACACACAACAUUCCCGACUCCAAUUAGCUGCAAUAGAAAGCUGUGUAAAUCACAUCACAUCCUUGUACCAUUUUGCUUUUAAGUGUAACAUAUACAUCCACACAGUGCAAUAGAGAGACAGAGAGAGCUAGAAACAUCCAUACAGUAGUGAAGAAACAGAAUCAACAAUGCCACAACAAUGAAACAAUACAACAAAAUCAAUCAUAUCACGAAAUAAAAUAAGAAAUAGGAAAGAGAGAGAAAGAGAGAGAAAGAAACAAACAAACAAGUAAUAGUAAACAAAAACACAAUAACAUACACACGAAAUACUCCCUUAGGGCCAGUCAGUUGCACAAUAGAAAAUAAGUGAAACAACAAGACUCAGAGAGAAAGAGAGAGAGAGAGAGAGAGGGUGGCAGUUUUCCCCAGCAGCAACAGCAGCAGCAGAAGGUGUAAAGAGAUUGUGAGGAAAAAGUGUUGUUUGUGUGAACAUUAAUUUCGUUAGCGGGCCCCCAACCAUUUCGAUCCUGGUUUUUACCCUUCCUUCCUACUUUUUUGCAAGGUUGAUUACAAAUUCUCCCACCGCGCUCGCUUGCUCAGUGACUUUUCAGUAAGGUAAAAGGGUAAUAUGGGAAGCAGCACACAAAACACCACACAACACACACAGAAAACGCGAAGCUUCAGUAGGCUUUGGAGCAUUCGGGCCGCCUUUCCAUCAAAAUCCCGUCGAAACCACUGCACAAACCUUUUUCUCGUAGCGCAGAGACAAAAGGAGAAUGAGAGAGAGAGAAAGAGAGAGAUCCAUCCUCUUCUCAUCGAACUGUACUGUACGAAUUUUAAGCUUUUGUGGUGAAUGAGGUUAAUUUAGUUAUGCUUUUGCGGGUUCGAGCUCUCCGUGGAGCCCUUCGUUCGCGCUGUUUUCUAUCCCCAUCGUCCUCGCUCUUUCUCUCUCUCUCCCUUCCCUGCUUCGAAGGGAUAUCGUUCCUUAAUAAGGGCACCGCGAGGGCAUUAAAAACACAACCCCCCAACCCGUUCAGCGCACAAUGAAAUGAACCAAGAAGGGGUGGGGAUGAUGGAUGGUGGUGGUGGACAGGGCGCCGCACAAGGAAAUUAGAACAAUUUAUUGAGUGCGUUAUGCGAGUGGGGGAGCGAAAAGGGAACGAACCACACACACACACACACCAUAUGGGGAAGGACAAGCAAAGGUUUCAUUUGCUUCUGUUGUUGGUUUGUGCGUAAGGGAAAACGGUGUGAUUCGCUAAUUUUCGCCAUAAAUUUUCGAUCCUUUUCGUUUGCCCAAUCGCCCUCUAGAUUACGGGAUGGGAGGGAAGCUUUAUCAUCUGCUCGACGUGUAAGGGAAGUGGUUCGGAAAAUGGGAGAAAAUUCAAUCAACUUUUGGAAAGGGGAAAGGUAAACGGCUAACCGCACACACACACACACCCAAAACCCAUGAUGCGGUUUACAGUGAGUUGUGCAGUGGCAGUGCUUUUAUUAUAUCAUUUCUUUGCUCAGAAGCGUUCAUGUUACGAUUUUUGAUUUUGUUUUUUGUUUAUGGUGUAAAAACACACAAUACUUUACUACAAAAACCGGAGCAUUUGAGCAAUGAGAGCUCCACCACGCGGAACGAAAGCAAGAGUGCGCAAAAUAGGGGGCAACGAGCAGCAGAGCAGCAACAAAUUGCGAUAAAACAACAUAAAUUAAACCAAAAACAAACAGGAAGAAAAGUAUAUUAUGAUACAUAAAUAUACUCUACGCAAAUGGAACGAUAAGGAGAAAGGAAAAAAGCAGCGCAUCCCCCCACAAUUUGUAUGUAGCGUUACUCCUAAUAAAAGAAUAAGCGCAACACACAAGUGAUUAAAAGUAGUAGGAUUGAUACAAACAAAUAAAGAAAUACCGUAUAGCGUUUUAGAUUUGUAAGCAAGCAUUACUUUUCAGGUAGAGAGGAAAAAGAAGAAGAAGAUAGAGAGAAACAGAAUCCGGCAGGCCAUUUGUACAGUGAAUCGAAGCAUUUUGUUAGUGGUUAAGAGGGGUGGGAACAAGGGAGGAAGAAAGAAUUAGGUUUUGGAGGACAUGAAGCAAGCAACAAACAAACAAACACACCACGUUGUAAUGCGCGCGAGUGCGAAAUGCGCAACAAAAAAACAAAGAUAUAUAUGAUAUAAACAAAUAAAUUCUUACCGAAGUGGCAAGGCGCAUGGAAUGAUAUGAAAA